UGUGGGGAGGACCUUGAUUUUAUCCUUGUAUAAUUAAACAGUCCUAUUCUAUUAAGCAUUUAGGUGGCUUUCAAUAUCUCACUAUUAUAAACAAUACUUCAAUAAUAAUAAGAUUUAUUGAGUGCUUACUGUGUUCCAGAUAUUAAAUCAUUUAUAAACUUCUUACCAAGAUAAGGGGCCAGUUCAAUAUCAUACUCAUUUGCAUGGAGGAGGAGACUGCAGCCCAGAAGGUUCAGUGGUAGGAGCAGGAUUUGCACCCAGGUAGCGCAGCUCCCAGGCCCUCAUGUAACAGCUGAGUUAUUUGUACUAUCUUCCUGCAUCUUAGCUGUGUGAUCUUAGGCAAGUCAUUAACUUAAGCCAAUAUGUAGGAAAUGGGGCUAAUAACACGACCUACCUUGUAGGAUUGUGUUUAAAACAAUCACUGCCAUAGUUAGUGCUCUUUAAGUGUUGGUGUAAACAACCCCCCCUCCCCUCCAUGUAUCUCCCCCAUCCCAAGUGGAGAUACUGGAAUACAAACCCAGGCAGUCUGACUCCAGGGCAUUCUUGACCAUGGCACAGGGGUUGACCUUAGAGUCAAUGAGAAGAACUGUUAAUAGAAAUUUGCUUCAUUCCUUUACCUUAUCUUACUUCAUUCCUUCCUGUUUCCUUGGAGGAAGUGUUUCUUCUUUGGCCUAAGAUAACACUUGUGUCUGGACCUUCUCUCCCAUGGCCUUCCUGGAUCCAUCACUGUUCUUCUUACCCCUGAAUUAUCAAGCCCCAUCUCCCUGGCUCCUUCCUCUCAAUCUGCAAACCUGCUCAGAUUUCUUCAUCAGGACAGCAGAUGCCGUCUGGAAGCUGUGUUCCCUCUGGCCACUUCCCAUCAUUUUUCCCUUCUCUUUACCAUUAAAGGUCUUUAAAUAGUCGACUAUGUUUUUCUGUUUCCGUGUCUCCCUGUAGUCCUGUCUUCUUCCCCUGCCCACAGAAGCUGCCUUUGCUCAUUGCCAACACUGACGGACACUGCCAAGUCUGGAUCUUGCCCCACCCUUACCCUCACACAGGUGACCCCUCUCUACUUCUUGCAAUUAAUAUUUUCCUGCGUUUUCCCCAAGCUCUUCUAUUCUGAUUUUCUUCUCUUUCUUAUUUCUCACCUUCAUUCUCACCUUCUUUUCCAUUCUUCUCCUUGACAUCAGUCUUCCCAGGUUCUGUCCUUAGCCAGUGCUCAUCUCUCUGUUCCCCAUCUCAGAUUUUGAGUUAAAGUUUCACAUAUAAUCCUGGUGACUUCUCUGUCUGUCUCUUAGGCCCAGAUCUCUGGGAGGAACUUAGACAUUAAUUGCUUGUACAGUUAUUAGACAUAGCCAUGUGGGUAUUCCAAAGGCACAGCAAACAAAACAUGUCCAAAGUAGAGUGUUUCAUAUCUUUAUUCCUGCAAAUUAGCUGCUCCCCUAGAUUCACCAAAAAUCUGGGAGCCAGCCAGCUCUUCCUUCCUCUUCUGCCCCUAUGCCAAGCGAUGCAGAUUUUUCUGAGGCUUCUUCCUCCUUGACGUCUUUUGAUGCUUUCUUUUCUUCUCCGUGCUUCUGCCACGAACUUGACCCAGACCCACACCUUUUCUCUCUGGGAUUACUGCAGCAGCCCCCGAGUGUGGCUUUCCCGCCUUCGUUCUCAACCAUGUUCUAGUUCUGUCUCCACAUCAUAGAACAUUUAGUAUUGCCCUUUUUUAAAAAUAACUCUUAAAAUAUCAAAGUGAUAUAUGCUUACACUGUUUUUCUUAAGCCUUGGAAACAUAAAAAAAAUUAAAAACAAGUUUUUCAUUUCUUAAAACUGAGUUAUAACCAUUGUAAACAUAUUAAUGCAUCCUUUCAGUGAAAAAAACGUAUAAUUUUCCUAAUCAUUGUUGGGAUCAUGUUCCAUAUGUCAUUUUAUUGCUCAGUUUCUUCCCACAACUCAGGACCUUAUCUAAUGUCAUUAAAAAAUCAUUUAAAAUAGAGAUAUUAGUGUCGUCUAGAAAAUGAAACAAAUGAGCUGUAAUUUAACUACUCCUCUAUUGUGGAGCAUUUGGAUUGUGGUUUUUGUUUCUUAUCAUUUUAACUAAUAUUAAAUGAAUAACUUUGUGCUUGAAUCUCUAGCUUUUACCUUGAAUUAUUUCCUUGAGAUCAGUUGCUAGAAGUGAAAUUAUUGGGUUAACAAUAUGAAUAUUUUUGAGGCUUUUGACAUAUUUUGUACAACUGUUUCCCAGAAAAGAGGGAACAAAUUAUUCCCUCUGUAUUACAUGAGAUUAGACAUCCCACAUGGGCCAGAAUUGAAUGUGUACAAUUAAGUAAUAUAUUUUCUGAUCCUGUAAUUGAAAAAUAAAACCAUGGCAUUUUCUAAAUGUAAUUGGAUGUGUUUUCAUAUGUUUACUAUGUAUUUUCAUAUGUUGUUUAUUAGCUGUAGCUAUUUGUUAUUCUGUGAAUAGCCUAUUCAUGUUUUCAGUUGUAUUAAGAUUUUAGUAGUAUUAUUAUUAUCAUUGUUAUUUUGCAUGAAUGAGCAGUCAUUCUGAAAUGUAAGCCUUGCUUAAACAUCCUUCAUUGUUCCCUGUAACUCUCAGGGUGAAGUUGAAAUCCCUUGGCACACAAUGCCUCCCAUUAUUGUGCCCUUGACUGUCUGCCUUUUCUGUGCCAAGAUGCAUACAAAUACACCACAGGUUAUUCUGAACUACUUUCAGUUCUCAAAAUAAUGCAUUUGUCCUUUAUGCCUCAUGUCUUCUCAACACGGUCUGUUUUCUACCCAAAUCACCACUCUCUACCUGCCUGCUGUUUUGUCUAGUAAACUCCCAGGAGUUGCCUCCCCUGGGUGGGAACUGCUCUUCCCCUCUUGGUCUGAAUCACAUGUCUCUCCUCUGUGCUCUAUAGUAUCUGGAAAAGCCUCUUGCAAAGCCCUCACCACACUAUACUGUCUCUCCUGUUCACAAAGAGGGCAAGUCUUUUGGUUUUUGCUUCCCUAGGGCCUAACAAUAGGUAGCAGAUAGGGUUGAUGAAAUAGAGGGAGAAUGAAUAAAGCUGUUAUUCUCCAUCUAAAAAGAGCUAUAUUUGCUCUGGGAAGUUUACCAAAAUUUAAAUCUCUUAUAUGAAUAAUGUAAUAACCUCCUCUAUACCCUUCAUAUAUUCCCAUAGGUAGAGAUAUGGUAUUUUCGAAUUUAUUAAAGCCCUCAUAGCUGGAAUGUAUAGUUACAUACAUCUAGUGUGUCUAUACAUCUCUAUGAAGUUGUCGAAAAAGAAUUAUUCGGCAUGGAUUUGAUUGUCUCCAGAAUUUAUUUACUAUUAAGCAUUUACUAUAAAGAAUUGGGUAUUGUAAGUACAUAUGUUCAGCUAUAUAGCAUUUGAUUUCUCAGCUUAAUUUAACAGAAAAUAUAGUGAAAUGCUAAGAACCUGGAAAUGGCAGGAUAAUGGAUGGAUGGAUGGAUGGUAGAUGGAAAAUAGAUCUAAAGUUUACUUGUUGAGUAGAAAACAUAUACAUUUGGGAAUGAUAACGUUAUCUAUUGCCUUAUUUCAUUCAGGCUUCUACAACAAAAUAUCAUACACUGAGUUGCUUUAUAAACAACAAAUAUUUCUCGCAGUUCUGGAGGCUGGGAAGUCCAAGGUAAUGGUGCGAGCAAAUCUAGUAUCUGGUGCGAGCCUGCUAUUCCAUGCACAGACAACUACUGUCUGUGACCUCAUGUGACAGGAGAGUAGGGAGCCCCGGGGAUCUCUUUUGUGAUGGGGAACUAAUCUCACUCAGGAAGGCUCAUGACCUAAGCACCUCCCUAAGUCCCUAUCUCCUAACACCAUUAAGUGUAAACAAAUGAAUCUGGGGGGAGGAGACACAAAUAUUCAUACCAUAUCACUCUCUAUAAUCUAAGAAUGCCUUUAUGUUAUUUCAGCAGACCAUUUGAGGUUCAAUUAAAUUACAUGUUAAAAUAAAAAUAAGUACAUCUCUAAAAAGGAAGCUGACAAAAAUUUUGCUGUGCAUUUAGGGAAAAAAACAAAAGCAAACAAAUAAAAAACAACAAUCACUCCCAAGAAUCUAUCAAAAUGAUAGCAUGACAAGUAUAUCCCAAAACAAUUAAUUAUACUAGGAAGCCAAAAGUCACUUUUUAAACACAUUUAUCUUAGAGGAAAUUAAAAUAAUAAUUUCAUGCCUAUAAUUUACUUUAUGGUUUUGGUUAAUGAUUUGGAGACCAACCAAUCUCUGGAGUAUAAAGUUGGCCAACUUUGCUAAUGCCCACAGCCUCAUCUCUUAGGAAUUUCCCAAGCACUACCUUUUUCUUUUCUCUUCCCGAUAAAACAGGAGAGAACUGUGGUUGGCAUUAUCUCUGCUGCCUGACAGACUAAUCACAAUUUAGUGUAAUGAGUUUGCUGACAGGGCAGUUUCAGGAGGUAUUUGUAUUUUAAGCCUUUUAAUUUCAGUUUGGGGAUGUAAGAAAUUUUAGGCAUCAAUAAGCAUCUAGAAAGAUCUGAGCUAUUUGCGCUGGUUGCUGAAUCCUGCCUGCUCAUUCAUGCCUCUGUCCUUUGCAAGUACGGGGCUGUCUGCCUAAAACACUGUCUAGCACUUCAGAUUCCCUCCCCAUCCUCCAGGGGCUCCUAGUGGAUAAAGAAAGCAUGUAUGACUAGGGUUCUUUCUUAGGCACAGGGCACAGCAGAACUGCAUUUCAGGGACAGGUAUAUCCUUAGAAGACGCUGAUUUAAAAAAAUCCUGUGAAAGUAAGGCUAUAGAAUUGUGAAACUUUUCUGAUUAUAAAGUAAAAAGUUGUUUAUAAAAAUAGUCAUGGGCAAAAUUUUGUCAUAAGUAAACAUGACCUUGUCUAUGGCAGAAUAUGUAGAAUCUGUGGUGAAAUUUUUUGUGUGAAUCUUUUUGUAGCUAUUAAGAAAAGGUCAAAAACUAUCAUCAU